rnacentral:rRNA from 1 species
GACGAACGCUGGCGGCGUGCCUAAUACAUGCAAGUAGAACGCUGAAGGAGGAGCUUGCUUCUCCGGAUGAGUCGCGAACGGGUGAGUAACGCGUAGGUAACCUGCCUGGUAGCGGGGGAUAACUAUUGGAAACGAUAGCUAAUACCGCAUAACAGUAGAUGUUGCAUGACAUUUGCUUAAAAGGUGCAAUUGCAUCACUACCAGAUGGACCUGCGUUGUAUUAGCUAGUUGGUGGGGUAACGGCUCACCAAGGCGACGAUACAUAGCCGACCUGAGAGGGUGAUCGGCCACACUGGGACUGAGACACGGCCCAGACUCCUACGGGAGGCAGCAGUAGGGAAUCUUCGGCAAUGGACGGAAGUCUGACCGAGCAACGCCGCGUGAGUGAAGAAGGUUUUCGGAUCGUAAAGCUCUGUUGUAAGAGAAGAACGAGUGUGAGAGUGGAAAGUUCACACUGGACG